rnacentral:rRNA from 1 species
UACGGAGGAUGCAAGCGUUAUCCGGAAUGAUUGGGCGUAAAGGGUCCGCAGGUGGCAUUGAAAGUCUGCUGUUAAAGAGUUUGGCUCAACCAAAUAAAAGCAGUGGAAACUACAAAGCUGGAGUUUGGUCGGGGCAGAGGGAAUUCCUGGUGUAGCGGUGAAAUGCGUAGAUAUCAGGAGGAACACCAGUGGCGAAGGCGCUCUGCUAGGCCGAGACUGACACUGAGGGACGAAAGCUAGGGGAGCGAAAGGG